UACGAAGGGGGCUAGCGUUGUUCGGAAUUACUGGGCGUAAAGCGCACGUAGGCGGAUAUUUAAGUCAGGGGUGAAAUCCCGGGGCUCAACCCCCGGAACUGCCUUUGAUACUGGGUAUCUUGAGUGUGGUAGAGGUGAGUGGAAUUGCGAGUGUAGAGGUGAAAUUCGUAGAUAUUCGGAAGAACACCAGUGGCGAAGGCGACUCACUGGACACGUAUUGACGCUGAGGUGCGAAAGCGUGGGGAGCAAACAGGG
rnacentral:rRNA from 1 species